rnacentral:rRNA from 1 species
CACGUAGGGCGCGAGCGUUGUCCGGAAUUAUUGGGCGUAAAGAGCUCGUAGGCGGCCUGUUGCGUCCGCUGUGAAAGCCCCGGGGCUUAACCCCGGGUCUGCAGUGGAUACGGGCAGGCUAGAGGUAGGUAGGGGAGAAUGGAAUUCCCGGUGUAGCGGUGAAAUGCGCAGAUAUCGGGAGGAACACCGGUGGCGAAGGCGGUUCUCUGGGCCUUACCUGACGCUGAGGAGCGAAAGCGUGGGAAGCGAACAGG